GAUGAACGCUAGCGGGAGGCCUAACACAUGCAAGCCGAGCGGUAUUUGUCUUUCGGGACAGAGAGAGCGGCGUACGGGUGCGGAACACGUGUGCAACCUGCCUUUAUCUGGGGGAUAGCCUUUCGAAAGGAAGAUUAAUACCCCAUAAUAUAAUGAAUGGCAUCAUUUAUUAUUGAAAACUCCGGUGGAUAGAGAUGGGCACGCGCAAGAUUAGAUAGUUGGUGAGGUAACGGCUCACCAAGUCGAUGAUCUUUAGGGGGCCUGAGAGGGUGCUCCCCCACACUGGUACUGAGACACGGACCAGACUCCUACGGGAGGCAGCAGUGAGGAAUAUUGGACAAUGGGUUAGCGCCUGAUCCAGCCAUCCCGCGUGAAGGACGACGGCCCUAUGGGUUGUAAACUUCUUUUGCACAGGGAUAAACCUACUCUCGUGAGAGUAGCUGAAGGUACUGUACGAAUAAGCACCGGCUAACUCCGUGCCAGCCGCCGCCGUAA
rnacentral:rRNA from 1 species